GACCUCAUGGCUUAGCGGUUAUAGCACCGGCUGACCAUCACACCCUGUUUAAAAUGGAUUCCGCUGCUGGCGUGGGUUCGAGUCCCACUGAGGUCG